rnacentral:lncRNA from 1 species
CCAGAGAGAACUCUAUGGACUGGCUUUGCAUUGUUGCAAGCUAUGUGGGAGAGCCUCAGAAUCCCAGAUGUGCUUAUAAGAAGCUGAACAUGUGAAUCAAAGGGGAAGGGCAGUGUAGUGUAGUAGAAGGAAUACUGAACUGGUGUUGCCCUUUAUCUACUGUUUGACCCACAUCAUUUAACUUCUCCAGGCCUGGGUUUCCUCUUUAACUAGAGCAUAUGGCUUGGCUCUCUACAGAAGAAGACCACCAGUAUCCUUGGAGAAGGUUUUCGUCAUUAUGAUAAAAAUAACUUGAAUGGACUCCAUCAGUACUGGAGUGCCAAGAAGUAAUGGGGAAGGAAAGUAGGUGGCAGACAUGAAACGGCUCAUCUGAUAGUUGCUGCUAUCAAUUCGGUUUCUGACUCAUGAUGACCUUUAAGGAAAAGUUUAUUCUUGGGAAACAGCUUCAUCUUAAAGCUGGGCUUAGGAUAACUGCCAAUUACAAUUGCUGCUGCAUGGUUCUUUGUCCGCAUCCCAUGAGAGGGGGAGCCUUUCAUCCUAGGGUCCUUCUUAACAGUGAAGAAACAUUUUUCAGAGUUUCCCCAAAAACUUACACUUAUUGUUCAUCAGCAAAAGUGGUCAUAUGCUUAUCCCUGAACAGGACCCAAAUUAGGGGAUUUCCAUGUGCUG